rnacentral:sRNA from 1 species
GUUGGGCACAGUGGUACAUGCCUGUAAUCCCAGCUACUUGGGAGGCUGAGGCAGGAGGAUUGCAAGUUCAAGGUCAGCCUGGACAAUUUAAUGAGACCCUGUCUCAA